AUUAUAUUUUGGUUGACAAGAACUGGAAUGGCAUUGUUGGGAAGAUGAUGAGAUGGGGAUAAAGAGCAGGUAUGACAGAAAAGUAGUAUUGUAUGUGACAUUUGCAAGCAACGUGGAGGUUUGGGAUUUAAAUUAAAAAUUUGGUCAAAAUUAAAACAGAAGAUGACACAAAAGUAAAGACAGGGAAGUCCGUCCAAGUUCCCAAGUGGUCCUUAAAACAACAGAUUUUAGGGUAUUAUGAAGGAAGCGAGUGGCAAUGUUUUGAUGGGCUUUAUCCAUUUUUCUUCUGCACCUCAUGCUUUCAGCUGCAACCGCCAAGUUGGACCAAUUUGAAAAGGAAUGAUGAGUGGAUCCACCAGUUUGGGGUCAAAUAAAGAAGAAACGGAAGAUUCCGCCAUUGGAAACAUCGACCAGCAACCUGCCAACGGUGAUGGGGAAGUUUGGUUUGAAUGUACCUAGCAGAGAAUGAUCGCAUGAAAUUAUAGUCCACCAACACAUAAACGAUGCCUCAGACAAAGAGCUUCCAUUUCUCUCAUGCCUCAUCUUAGUGCGUUUGCCAGAUUUAUUGGAAAAUGCACUUGAAACAUCAAAUGUUUUGUGUCGGCUUUGGACUAAAAUUCUGACUUUCUUUAUCUAUGCAUCAAAUCAACCUCCCUAUUU